rnacentral:tRNA from 1 species
AGCAGAGUGGUGCAGUGGAAGCAUACCUAUGGGCCCAUAACCCAGAGGUUGAUGGAUGGAAACCAUCCUCUGCUA